rnacentral:tRNA from 1 species
GCCUGGCUGGCUCAGUCGGUAGAGCAUGUGACUCUUAAUCUCGGGGUUGCAAGUUCAAGCCCCACGUUGGGUG